CAGCCGCCGCGGUAAAACCAGCACCUCGAGUGGUCAGGAGGUUUAUUGGGCCUAAAGCAUCCGUAGCCGGUUGCAUAAGUUUUCGGUUAAAUCUAUGUGCUUAACGUAUAGGCCGCCGAAAAUACUGUGCAGCUAGGGAGUGGGAGAGGUACACGGUACUCGAUAGGAAGGGGUAAAAUCCUUUGAUCUAUUGAUGACCACCUGUGGCGAAGGCGGUGUACCAGAACACGUUCGACGGUGAGGGAUGAAAGCUGGGGGAGCAAACCGGAUUAGAUACCCCCGUAGUCCCUGUCUCUUAUAC
rnacentral:rRNA from 1 species